rnacentral:rRNA from 1 species
AUUGAACGCUGGCGGCAUGCCUUACACAUGCAAGUCGAACGGUAACAGGUCUUCGGAUGCUGACGAGUGGCGAACGGGUGAGUAAUACAUCGGAACGUGCCCGAUCGUGGGGGAUAACGAGGCGAAAGCUUUGCUAAUACCGCAUACGAUCUACGGAUGAAAGCGGGGGAUCUUCGGACCUCGCGCGGACGGAGCGGCCGAUGGCAGAUUAGGUAGUUGGUGGGAUAAAAGCUGACCAAGCCGACGAUCUGUAGCUGGUCUGAGAGGAUGAUCAGCCACACUGGGACUGAGACACGGCCCAGACUCCUACGGGAGGCAGCAGUGGGGAAUUUUGGACAAUGGGCGAAAGCCUGAUCCAGCCAUGCCGCGUGCAGGAUGAAGGCCUUCGGGUUGUAAACUGCUUUUGUACGGAACGAAAAGCCUCUUUCUAAUAAAGAGGGGUCAUGACGGUACCGUAAGAAUAAGCACCGGCUAACUACGUGCCAGCCGCCGCAGUAA